rnacentral:lncRNA from 1 species
UUCUACAUAAGUCCAAUUACGAUUGCUUAACAUAUAGCUAAAUUUGACCCUAAAGGCAUAUCAUUCUAGUAAGUGAGAUUGUGAGUCUCCCAUCUUUCAUGGUAUUGUGUGGAAACUUGGCAUUUUUUCCUUCCUUUGGAAGAUGUCUUGGUUCAAAGGUCCAUGCUUGUGAAUAGAUGGUUGAGUGUUCUCUAAAGAAUGACUUAA